rnacentral:rRNA from 1 species
AGCGAACGCUGGCGGCAGGCCUAACACAUGCAAGUCGAGCGCCCAGCAAUGGGAGCGGCAGACGGGAUAGUAACACGUGGGAACGUACCUUUCAGUUCGGAACAACCCAGGGAAACUUGGGCUAAUACCGAAUACGCCCGUAAGGGGAAAGAUUUAUCGCUGAAAGAUCGGCCCGCGUCUGAUUAGCUAGUUGGUGGGGUAAUGGCCCACCAAGGCGACGAUCAGUAGCUGGUCUGAGAGGAUGAUCAGCAUCACUGGGACUGAGACACGGCCCAGACUCCUACGGGAGGCAGCAGUGGGGAAUAUUGGACAAUGGCGCAAGCCUGAUCAGCCAUGCCGCGUGGAUGAUGAAGGCCCUAGGGUUGUAAAGUCC